UGUGUAGGCGGUUGCUUAAGUUUGGUGUGAAAUCUCCCGGCUCAACUGGGAGGGUGCGCCGAAUACUGAGUGACUCGAGUGCGGGAGAGGAGAGUGGAAUUCCUGGUGUAGCGGUGAAAUGCGUAGAUAUCAGGAGGAACACCGGUGGUGUAGACGGCUCUCUGGACCGUAACUGACGCUGAGACACGAAAGCGUGGGUAGCAAACAGGAUUAGAUACCCUGGUAGUCCACGCCCUAAACGAUGCAUAUUUGGUGUGGGCAGUUCAGUCUGUCCGUGCCGGAGCUAACGCGUUAAAUAUCGCCGCCUGGGGAGUACAGUCGCAAGGCUAGAA
rnacentral:rRNA from 1 species